GGAGAUUGCUUCUGUGUGGAGUUUUGCAGCGAGCAUUGGCAUUGAUCAAGAAUGAUGGGGAUCUUCAAGUCCAGCACUGGGCUGCAAAGGUGACUGUGACCCCAGAACAUCUCCCUUAUGAGGAACAUCUGAGAGAUUUGGGACUGAACUGCCUGGAGAACAAAAGGCUGACAGGGAACCUAUCAAAGCUUGUAAAUAUCUAAAGACAGAAGUCAAGUGGAUUAGGCCACAUUCUCUACUAUCCAGAGUGUAUGUAGAGUCUCUUCCUCUGGAGAUAUUAAAAACCUGGACGCUUUCCUGUAACAGUACAGAGAACCUGCUUUAGCAGUGAAUUAGAUUCAGUGAUCUCCGGAGGACUCUUCCAACCCCUAUGAUUGAUGCUGCUGCUUAAAGAAAUACUUUUCCUGGUCCAGCUCUCAUCACCUCAGGUCUUCAGAGUUCUCUCUGAACUUGCAGUUCAGAAAAAGUUUAUGGUAAGCUCUCCAUAGUCUUCACUGUUUUUUUGCUUUUAUGGGAACAAGGCUUCUGCUGUGGCUGCGUAACAUCUAGAUUUCAUAGAAAACAGAAGUAAUUAAAAUUUCACAAACUUAACAUUUGGACAAUUUAAGUGAAAUAUAAUGGUGAGGAAAUGGUAGCAUGAAGAAAAUGAGUUCUGGUGAUACUCAUAUGUGAGUGAACUUCACACGUGAAAUCCAACUCUUUUAUCUAUUUAUCUAUCUAUUUAUUUAUUUAUCUAUUUAUUUAUUUAUUUUUAAAAAAAUCUGUUUCCUUUAUAAUGAUUCCUGUAUGACCUGAUUUAGAUGUUCGUGAUCUGGAAAGAGAUUUCACUAGGUCAUUUUUUGAGGUCCCUUCAAUUCCCUGACAUUCUGUGAUUCCUAGUCUCUGAUAUUGUAUCCAGAAAUGUGUGUUUGAUAAUGUUAACGUGUUUGGUAAUGUUAUGGAAAUUUAUUUUACAUAGGAAUUCAUGCAGUUACAUUAUUUUGUAUUUAAGUAAAAUAUAUGCUUAAUGAGUAAAGUAAACGGCUUCAUUCUGAGUGCUUGGCAAGUUUUAAAUAACAGAGGAAAGAUGGAGGUCCUGCCUUUUAAUAACUAAAUCA